GCGGGCGUAGCUCAACCGGCUAGAGCGCCACCCUUCCAGGGUGGAGGUGUUGGUUCGCGACCAGCCGCCCGCUCCA
rnacentral:tRNA from 1 species